rnacentral:rRNA from 1 species
UACGUAGGGUGCAAGCGUUAAUCGGAAUUACUGGGCGUAAAGCGUGCGCAGGCGGCUUUGCAAGACAGAUGUGAAAUCCCCGGGCUUAACCUGGGAACUGCAUUUGUGACUGCAAGGCUAGAGUACGGCAGAGGGGGAUGGAAUUCCGCGUGUAGCAGUGAAAUGCGUAGAUAUGCGGAGGAACACCGAUGGCGAAGGCAAUCCCCUGGGCCUGCACUGACGCUCAUGCACGAAAGCGUGGGGAGCAAACAGG